AGGGAAAUUUCAUAGACUAUAACUGUAGUGGGUCCACAACACUGUGGCGUUUUAGUUUACUUUAUUGGGGAAUUUAAUCGCCCAAAACUACAAAUAAUAACUGGAGGUAUUUUACUCAUACUAAGAUGGACGAGGAUCCAUUGCAGGGGAUGCUUUUAUUUGUACAUACACGUUUUUUUUUUAAAUCCAAAUGUCCAAUAAAGUCUUGAAAAUAAAAAUUUGAAAAUGCUUGAAAACCCAAACAAAGAAAGAAAAGUGGGUUGAGCUCUGACUUUUGCCUCAUUCAGGUUCACAUGCCACCUCCAGGAAAGAAUCCCGGUUGGACAGCAGCAGUAUCCAUGGUGGUCUACCCACCCCGACCCUCACCUCCACUGCCCAGAAGCAGCCACGCAUUGUUGCGUGCACGAGUGAUGUCCUCUUGGAAUCCGAUAUUGGCAGUGAUUCGACUGAACUGGAGUCUGAGGAUGAAUUCUCCUCAGGAUCCCAGAUGCCGGAUUUGAUUCUCACGAAGAGAUCAAACUCCACCGAAGAUGACAAAGAACCAAGCACAUCCUUAUUGCCGCCGAUGGAGGAGUGCGACGUAGAGCAAGAGGAACCAAUGUCUGAUGAAGCUGAAAGUGAUUCUUCAUCCGUGCCGCCUUCCACCCAGCACAGAAGUGUCUUUGAACUGUUCAACUGAGACACACUAGCCAACAGUUUUUUGUUCUGUUUUGUUAUAGAAGGAUGUUCCUAAAGGAUUUCAGCCAAUAAUUUUGUUGGAGUCUUAGCAAGCACUAUGAAAUGGAUUUUAAAAGGCUCUACAUUAUUGUUAGGAUACCGUAAGUUGUUGUUGUUGUUGUUGUUCAGAAGAGCUGUUUUAUUUUGAUUGGUAUACUUGUUUGACUCUAAUGGUGAAAUGUUCAAAUCUGUCUUGAUCAUUAAUCAUAUGAAUUUACUAUGCCCUCAUAUUUGUUAUGCAUUCAUACUUAAAUAUUUUCAAUACUAUAUUGUAUAUAGUGAAAUACAAUAUUUUCAAUAUGGUGAUGUGAUUCUCAGUUUGAAUAAAAUGCUCUGGAGAAGAAAA